UAUUCGAAAGUGGUCACCCCGGAGUAAGCGGUAUCGAUCAGGACCUGAACAAGUAGGACGUCGAUAUAUCGCCGCGCUCCUCGAGUUUGUCGCAUAAACAUGGAAACACGACCUUAUUUACCGAAGAUGGCAAAUUUUUUAACAGCCCUUACGAUUUCGGGACUUAAAUAAACAGAAACGACGCAUUUCUCUCAAAAUAAUGGUGUUAACAAAGUAAAUUCAAUAGUGGAUUAGAGAGAAACAUCAGUAAGCUAGUGAAAGUGACUGUGGUUUUUUCGUAACCAUGAAUAAUAAAGAUGACGAGUGAACGACGUGAGCAGCGCACCUGCAUCAAAAUGAGCAACGCAUUGAACUCGCUCGGCUACGGCGAAGCGUGCGGCGCGCGAUGGACGCUGGGCGCGCUAUUGCUGGCACCGCUGGCAGCCGCUAACUCCAGCUACUGUGCCGUACCCGCCGUGUUGCUGCUAGCUGCUUUCAUCACUGUUGCCACUUUUACAUGCAAGGACCUGAAGAAGCUGGCUGAAAUACUACCACCGCCGAAAACGUCUAGAGGCCGACGCGAGCGCAACCUGCGCUCUUUCGCCGACUUCAUGGCGAUGUGGAUGACGUUUCUGUCUCAUCUGGUGGCCGUGGCUAUCUGCGCCAGGAUCCUGAGCGCCACGGCUGACCACGUGACCGCCGGUCGAACCAGGCGAUGGCUGUUUGGGUACGAGACUAGAGCCCUGGGAGAACCCUGGCCUGAUGUAUUGGGGGUCACCGUCGUGAUGGUGGUUUGCGCUAUGUUCAUGUGUGGACUGGAGGAAAGUAUGAUGUUCACGUUUAUGUUGCUGAUUCUUCUGUACAUAUUUAGUCAAUUCUUUGCCAUUGUCGGCCUUAUGAAUUUGGAUAUUGCGAAUAUUAAUAUUCCUAUACCUAUCACAAUUAAUGAGAUGUUUGCUGCUGGUGCGCCAAUAUCUUACGCUUUUAGUGUAGUUUUACCUCCUAAGGAAAGUGGUUCUCUGAAGAAAAACUUGAUACUUCGCAUUGGUUUGCCGACGGUCGUUCUCGCGGGUCUGUGCUUUUUGUACACCAAUAUGUUAAAAUCGCAUAGCAUUGACGCCGCGCUACCAGUCACAACGUUACUAGAAGCCAGGUCAGCUGGAUGGGUGUGCCCAGUCCUGGCUGCUGUCACAGUCGCUGGUGUCUGUCUCGCUCUCACUGAGCUCUGCCCAUUGCUGUUUACUGUGCUUGUGGCUCUGGCUUCACCAGAGUGGAAGGUGCUGACCAGGUCCAUGACAUACGAAAGCACUACCACUGGUAGUCCAGUUCUAGCUGUAUUUACAGCCGGGAGUUUGGCAGCCAUCCUGGCGUUUGCGUGUCCACUAUCGCAUAUGAUUACCCUGAUGAAUGCAAGCCACCUGCUUGGCAUCACAGUGCAGGCGUUCCACUUCAUCAUCAUGCGCUGCGUGCCCACGGCCGAGCAGAAGGAAGCUGGAGACGUGGAGUACAAACGCCUUGGCACCGAGGGUAGUUCACGAGCAAUGAAGUCAAGCAGCUCAAAACCCAAACGAGGCCUGUGGUUCAUACCAUCAGCGAUACGGCACACUAAGACAUUGGAGAGUAUCAAGCCUAAAGUGACAGCAAAAGAAACAGAAGAACGCGAGUGUCUUUUGCUUGACGAGUACUCUGGAUGUCCAACAGAAGAAAUAGACCAAGCAACCAGCUGCAGCAGUGGAAUCAGGGACUUGCCUACUGUUGAAGUGGAAGACGUAGUAUCGGACGUCGAAGCUAGCGAGGGUGAACUGUCUUCAGGAGACGACUCUACCGAUAUCGAUGCGGUAGUGAAGGAGUAUAGAGAUAGGAUUCAAGUGGUAACAGCGGUUCCCGAAGCCAGCAUGCCCACCCCGCCCAGCGUGCGGGGAGCGCGAUGGUCCGCAGUAGGGGCCGUGGUCCAAGUGCUGGCAGACGCCUUCAUAGCGACUGCCUUCUGCAAUGAGGCCAUCAGGGUGCCUAUGUUUGCGACUGGCAUACCUUUAUGGCUAUGUGGGACCUUCAUAAGCGCGUGGCAGCCAGCUCACAACCUGGGCUUGAGGAAAACUCAAAGCAUUCAGGGGCCUGUGGCAAUGCUGAUCGCGCUGCUGUUCCUUACGCCACUCCUGCUCGACUCCUGGCCGGCCAUCACGCUUUUUGCUGGAGCUGGUGUGGUGAUAUAUGCCCGCUGCGAACGCUGGUGCGGCGACCUGGCAGUGCGGCAGGCCCGUAGCGCCCUGGAGCGCCGCAAGCUGUCGCCUGUCACCGCCGCCGUGCCGCUCACCGGCGCUCGGCUCGCGCACAUCGAUACUGUCUACAUAGCCAGCUUCAUUCCUGGUUCAAAGACAGUUUAGCUUUCCCUGAGACACAAGGGCUACAUUGACCGGGUCCAAACCGACAUCAUGGCAGAAAUUUCGUCAGAUGACAUGAGGAUGACUCGGAUUCGAGUCUGGACAAUCUAAUUGAUGCCGACGACGAAGAGGCGUACGAUGACGAAUGACACGGGACCCAGGCCAUCGUGAUCAUCGCGUAAGGGAUCAUUUGUGAAAGAAAGACUACGUGCUGUAGUGAUGUGAUUGAUUGGAUUGUUUUAAGUUAUGUAGAGUCAAUAAUAUAAUGGUUUGUGGUAUGAAAUGACACUGAAAUAUGGACUCAAGUCUUGUGAUUGAGAACGGUUAAAUUGAACCAAUCACAGAUUUGAAUCUAUGCUUGAUUUUGAUAAAGUUUUAAGCUAAAUUCAGAAUAUCAUUUACGUAAUGGACAAUGUAGGAAAGCAAUUGCGUGAAAAUAAUUCUAAUGAUAGAGUAGUGGUAUGUGAACAAAACCUGAUAGUCGAAUGUGUGUUUCGAAUCAGUAUGCAAAAUGCAUUUAAGUGCUAGAUUGUGCACUAAAACAAAAUUCUAAUACCAAUAAUAAUUCAACAUGAUUCAGAUGAAACAAUCAGUCAGUAAUGGUUUUUCGUUUUGCUCAAUAGUACCUACAUAGGUGUAAAUUGAUCUAUAUUCAAUUGAUGUUCGUAGUAAAUAACCUAAAUAUAAGGAAAAGUGGUGAUCUUGUGAUAAUAUCCAUUAGUGAGAGGCAGAUGUAAUGUAGAAACUUAGUGGGUAAGCCUUGUUUUACUGCUGUUGGAUAUUUCGUAAUAACUAAUAUUAUAGUUAAUAUCUAACAGAGGUUAAACAGUUUUUAACUUUGCUAGCUUGGUGCCACCCAAACGUUUUGAAUUUAAAUGUUUUUGGUUGUAGUGAAUGUGAUACAUUAAAUAAAUAUUUUAAGGUAUCCGUCCAUCCGCCAUACGCGAUAUAUGAGCACCGCUUACGUGCUUUACAUUUUAACAACUUAUUACGUAUUUUUAUCAAGUCGCCUUAAUAGAAAACUUUGCUAGUUAAUAAGUAGGUCCUUUAAUCAGUCUAUUUUGGUAAUAUAAAGAACGGAAUUAUUCAAAGUCGGCCUAAUAAUUAAAGAAAUU